rnacentral:lncRNA from 1 species
CCGGGCGCGGGGACCACUUACCGCUCGGCCCGGCCUCCCGGUGCCGCCGCGCGUCCCGGGCGCGUCCGCCGCGCGCUCUCCCUGGGGAGAAAGAGAAACCGUGUAGACGGCCGGCGCGCGCUCACUCGCCGCCUCCUCUGCGGAGAGCGGCGAGGCCGGCCCGAGGCGGGCGCCGAGCGCGGAGCGGAGGGGGGCCCGAGGGAGGCGGGGGUGGAAUCAGCCCAAUUCCCGAGGCUGGCUCCGAGGGGGACCCGGAAUACAGGCUGGCGGGGGGCCGGCGGGGGCCGAGCUCCCGGAGGAGGGGAAGGCGGAGGUGGCCCCGUCCUUGGGCAUCAACUAUUGUCUAGGCGCCCGGGCCCCCGCUCGCGCCGUCCCCGAGGCUCAGCGCCCCCAUCCCGCCCGCCAGCAGAAAGAACUGAGGGGGCGGCCAGUACGGGAAGCAAGUGCGGGGGUCCGGGCUCCGAAGGUCCAAGUCUCGGGUGAGAUCACCACGGAGCGGCUUAGCGCGGCGCACAAGUCUCGCGAGAGAAGCGGCGGCUGGGCCCUGCAGGCGGAGGAAGUGGAAAAAGUCGCGGGAGGGUAGGGGACCGCGGAACUUCUGGUUGCUAUGACGACGGCAAAGCCCUGGAUUCCUGUCUCCUGCGGAGAGCAGAGGCUGCAAACGCAUCCGCAGACGCCUUUAUACGUACUCCAAAAUGCUAGUAAGGAUGAAGAUGAACUCUCCUCAGCCCGUGUCUUUUAACUGUAGAAACUUUUCUGAGAAAUGAAAAGAGGCUUGCUCAUGACUUGGAAGCGGUGGGCUGAGGCCUCCCAAGACCAUCUGGCUUGUUCCAUUGCCAGCCAGAGUGGAGGCGACAUUCACACGAACCCAGGAGCUGCAGGGGCGCGUGAGCUACAGCUGCCUUGUGGCAUCCAAGGAGUGCGCAACUAGUCUCACUCUGUUGCCCAGGCUGGAGUGCAGUGGCGCGAUCUCAGCUUACUUCAGCCUCCGCCUCCCGGUUUCAAGUGAAUUCUCCAGCCUCAACUUCACAAGUAGCUGGGAUUACAGCCACUUUUUAUCUUCUCUCCUGCAAUCCAACCCACAUAAUUUCCAUGAAGAAAGCGGAGUGGUGUCAUUUUACAACAAGAAAACUGAGUUAAGAAUAAGUCCAAUCAAUUGCUAGGUGUUGAGACUGAAAUGGAAGUCUCUUAGUACUCCACCCAAGGAUUUUCAUAUUAAACAAUUAUCUUGUCAUCAUUUUAUUUCUGAGUUAUUCUCUUCAGUUUUUGUUCUCUUCAAUUUUCAGAAAAAUUGAAAAUGCUAAUAACAUGUGUUCUGGUCCCUUGAAUCAGAAAUUUCAAGUACACGCAGAAUGAAUUUUCACUGACCCUCCUCCCCUGUGUGCUCAGAUUUCUCUUAU